CAGCCUACUAGAUAAAAUGCCUUUUUUUUUUUUUUAUAUAUUCCAGGUGCUUUAUUCACUUCCUUGUUUGCUGAAAUUUUAUUGUAUUAUAUUUGCAGAACAAUAGAUUUGUCCAAAUGACUAUCAAGGAGACUUCUGACCAGAAAAUGACUCUCUCAAGUUCCUGUUAAUCUGGAAUCCUUUUAUCAAAAGCAAAGAGAUUAUGGCCAGUCUCCUCCAGUAGUCUCUGUAUUCCCUGAAAAUUGGUUUUCUCCCUUGCAGUUUUGCACAGAGGCAAAGAGCUUCUGUACUGUACUGGCUACUUAGAACAAUGUAGGUCUUCAAAGUAGAGGGAUAAGAAGUGAAGUUUUCAGGACAUUGAGAAGAUCUGACUGAGUUUGUUUUGCAAGAGGAGAAGAAACGGAUUGCGAUCGUUACUGAUGUGCCUCGGCCGGUUACAGGUGUUGGGGUCAGAAGGCAAUGGGUUCACCCUGUUGAGGAGCUGAAGGGAAGGAAUUUCAGAGGAAAUGUAGUACAAGACAUCAGAAAAAAAACCCACAUGAAAUGGCAGCAUCAAGAAUAGGAAUGUGUGUGAGGAA